rnacentral:lncRNA from 1 species
AGGGAUUCAACCCAGAGGUGCUUAACCACUGAGCCACACCCUAGCUCUUUUUAUUUUGAGACAGGGUCUUGCUAAGUUGCUGAGGCUGGCUUUGAACUUGUGAUCCUCUUGCCUUAGCUUCCCCAGAUACUGGAUUACAGGUGUGAGACACCACACCAGGCAAUACAAAGAUUUUUGCCCAGUAAUGCAUUCUAUCAGGCAGAGAAGAUCACUCCAAAUUUCACUUUUAUUAUUCCAUAGGAUAUAACUUAUUUUGUCUCUGAGAUAGCAAAGUUAUUUCAGUAUACCUUUCUCAACUGAUAUGAACAUUUGUUCUUUCUUCUUGGAAAAAGGAAAGUUAACUUUCCAGUUCUCUUAUUAACAAGCUUAAAAAAAAUCAGUAUUCUUUUAGCAUUAAGCUGAGAGUUGUGAUUUUAACUUUUUGACUAUAAUUUGACCAGAGGAUGAAUGAGAACUUUUCUCAUUUGAUCUCAAAUCUAAACAGUGAGACAGCAGCUGGGGACUGAGUCCUCCGAGCAGAUAGACCAGGGCCCUCAAAAUCCUAAAUCAGGAAAGAGCUUGAAAUGUUGGUGGCACAGAAGUUUCUAUGCUGUAGAAGAGUGAGAAGAGAUGAAUUGAACAACUAGUCGGGGUCAGGUUAAAUCGAGCUAUGAGACUAUAAAUAAUAACUUUGAUAAAUAUUUUUAAUUACAUAUUUUUUUGGAAAAUCUCAAAAUUCCACCCCUAAGGUGAAUUUACCAAUUUUUGACAAGACAUUGGGAUGGGGAAAAACACAAGCAUUAGCACAAGCAAACCAGAGUGAAAACUAGAAAA